GGGAAAUGAGGCUGGGGCCUGCUGGGCUGCAUCCCCAGAAAGUGAAGCAUUCCAAGCCUCUAGAUGUUUACAGUUGUAAAAAGUAAAGCAGAGGUUCCUCUUCAAAGACUUUCCUACCGAUCUAAUUAGGAAUAAAUAAUAAUUUCUCUUAGAAGCAAAAUUUAUUCAAAGACCUGUGCUAACAUUCUUAAAUAUCUGCUAGCAGUAAUAAAGAAAGCAACGUACUACUUUACGUUUUUAGCUCCCACAAUUUAGCCUAAAUAUUUGCCCUGGCAUGCUUAUACUGGUCCAAGCGGGCAUUAGGUCAUAGCCUGUUCCUCUUCCUUAUUUGAAGGUGUUUUUACCUUUCUCAGCAUUCCACAAAUUCCUUCCUUCCUUUGUUCUCCUCUGCCUUUGCCUCUUUUAAAAAGUUCUAAGUUGCUAGCCAAUCGGGACAAAUACAGAAGGUGAGGUCCCAUCCCAACCAGUGGAAACCGGACACAGCAGUAGGGUGGACGCGUCAGGUUAUAAAUGACCCUGUUUCCUUUGUUGGGUGAACUCUCGUGGCAAAGCUGCUAGCAAGUGUGUCCUUUCUGCAGGAAGUAAAAAUGGCCUUGCUGAGUAAAUUAAAUUUAUGUUCAACUGCUACUUCUUGACGGCACCGGGGAACAAGCAUUUCAAGCAAUUUGGUGGCAAUCCGUACGGGGCUACAUUCUCCUCCGGGGGCGGUCUCCAGUCCUCUCAUGAGGGAGCACGCUCCUCUGCCUCACUGCAGUGGCCUCAGGGAUGAGAAAUCGAGACCCACCUGGUGUGACGAAUAAACCUGGACUCUCAGCAAUGCAGAAAAAAAAAAAAAAAAGAAACUGGCCAGCAACCUAAGGUAAACGAUUCUCACACACCAGGGCUACAACUCUGUGCUCAGACGAAGGAACGAGACGCCACAGGAGCUGAACUAAAAGUCUUUUAGGACAGGUACCACCCCUAGAAUUUCCAGUACACCAGCACCAGCCUGAAAACCACGUCCUCAUCAAAAGACAGAAAGAAAAAACUUGAGCCAGCCUGGGAAGAACCCUAUUUUAUGCUGUUAACCACUGAGACUGCUGUCCGCAGAGCCAAGAAAAAAAUGGACCCACCACACUCCAGUCAAGAAAAAUCUUUCUCUCAGAAUCAUGGGUGACUGUACUAGGACCAAGCCCUACUAAGUUAAAGUUAAAGAAAGCUUAAUUUUCAUGUACCUUCUAUAUUGCUUCCUUUCCUUUCCUUAUUCUGUUACUAGCUCCUUUGUUAUUCCUGUAACUAACUCACCUCGGACCACUGCCUUUAAUGCUUGCUCUGUCAUACCUUGCGGAAAUGUAAAAGAUCAACAACAGCUAGCCUUUUCACACAAAUACUUAUGUCCCAGCCCUCUAAUUGACACGGUUACCCCUAGCACUCAUUAUUGUAAUGACCUGCAGUCCAGACGCCAAUUUUCUGCUCCUACAGCCUGGCAACCUCGUAGUAAAUGGACUACAUACAUUAAACUGCUCAGGAGCAAAGUUAAACUUCCACGAAAAAGGUUUGUGCAGAUCUAAAACCCCUCAUCUAUUUCACUGAAAGGACUACCCC